rnacentral:misc_RNA from 1 species
UCUCCGUAGGUGAACCUGCGGAGGGAUCAUUACUGAGUGAGGGUCUCCGGGCCCGACCUCCAACCCUUUUGUGAACCACCUCGUUGCUUCGGGGGCGACCCUGCCGUUCGCGGCGCGGCGCCCCCGGGGGAAAUCAAACACUGCGUCAAUUUGUGUCGGAGUACUUGUUAAUGAACAAAACUUUCAACAACGGAUCUCUUGGUUCUGGCAUCGAUGAAGAACGCAGC